UUUGACACUCCAGAGAGUGUCGAUCCACAGAGGGGUCUUCUUCAGACAUGGUGCAUACAGCAGCAGUAGCAGCAGCAGCAUCGAUCCAUCGUCUUGGACUGCAACAACGCAAAGAGAAAAGAAAGCUUACUCGAAUUACUCCAAUACUCCUCCAUCAUGUACAACAAGCAAGCAUACAACAAGCAAAAAUCUUCUUUUGUUCCCUACAAAUGUACAGCAAGCAAUCAAGUUACCUACAAAUGUACAGCAAGCAAGAAUGCAAGCAAGUCACUAGAGCAGUACUCCUUUUGUUCCCUUUGUUCCUCACAAGCAAAAAAGCAGAUCUGAAGCACAAGCACAAGCUUUAGUGAGCUCGGUAAAACUUCACUACUUGCACAUCACUAGAAGCAUAUGUCAAUGGAGUAAAAUUCAGUAAACAUCACAAGGAGCAGCCAAAAGUUCACAGGAAAAAUUCAGUGAACAGCACUGCAAGCAAAAUUCAGUAAUGUUUACUCCAUCACAAGAACUUUACUGGACUUGAGCUCCAUCAUAACUUCACAAGAUCUAAAGCAGCAGCAUCACUAGAGCAGAACUACUACACCAACACCAUCACUAGAGCAGAAAUACAGUAGCAUCAUCGGAGCAGAACCACUCCAUCGCAGCAUCACUUAAGUAGCAGCAUCAGUACAGAGGACAAGCACAAGGACUCACCGUCGUGGUAGUGGCCGCCAUAGUUGCUCCUCCCGCCGCUACAGUGCCGUCAACCGCUUCAGAUCCAGCGCCACCGCCGCUGCUAUGGUGCCCGCUUCAGAUCCAGCGCAGCCGCCGUUGCUAUGGUGCCCGCUUCAGAUACAGCGCCGCCGCCGCCUCCGCACAAGUACCCAUCGCCGCUUCAGAUGUGCCGGAGUAAAAAAAAGCAAUCUUUGGAAGAGAGGCGACGACACCAGACGAGCAAAGGGGACGACGCCAUCUUUGGAGGGGAGAGGAGACGCCGGCUAGAGGGAGGCUCGACGACGCCGGCGAGAGGGAGUCGGCGGCGACGACGCCGGGGAGGAGUGGGUGAGCUAGGGAUUUGGGGCUGUCGGAGAGAGGAACGCGAGAGGAGUGGGAGCUGUCCCGAGACGAGAGGAGAGGGAGCGGUCGCGAGGGCAAAAGUGGAAAC
rnacentral:lncRNA from 1 species